CUCCAGCAACACUGAGAGCAGACUCAGCCAAACUACUUAGGUAAUGUUGCAGUUUUCAAUGCCAACAAAGAAAUUCACUUAAAAAAAAAACACUCCAACGCUUGCAAGUUCCAAAAUGAUUGUAAAAAAGAAUUUCAGUUCAUUCAGGACAACUAGAAGGGGAAGGGGUAUGCUGCCUGCAAUUUUUGUAGAUCAGACUUCCCCAUUGAACACGGUGGCCGAACGGAUAUUGUCACUCAUGAACGGUCAGUGAAGCACAAGACUGCUGCAACGCAGCACCGGUCAAAGCCCAGUAUUAUGGGCCACCUUGCUAAAUGGAGACCCGAGGGUGUAACUUAUGCCGAGACAAAGAUGGCUAUGCCGAUAGCUGCAAGCAACAUCCCAUUCUCAUCUGCAAAUGUUUCAACAAAUCCGUGAAGGAUAUGUUCCCGGAUUCAGAGAUCGCUCGCCACUACGCAAAUGGCAGAACAAAGGCUACUCAAAUAGUUAAAGGUGCCAUUGCCCCGGAUUUGGACAAGGUAGCGAUCGAACUGUACCAAAACCAAUCCUUUGGUCUGAUGUGUGAUGAAAGCACAAGCAAAAACACAGAUACAGUCUGUAUUUACACUUCUUUUGCAAAGUAAUUUUGUGGCUGCGGUCAGUAAAAAUUUUGUG